GGUAUUUUGCCUGAUAAACAUUGUAUAUGUUAGUUGACUGGAGAGCUAUGACCCACGUUUGAUAUACCCAGCCCGAUAAAAAACCUAGAAUGCCGAAAGCGUCAAUCUAUCUGUCUCGCGAGACCUAGCUGCGGGGUGCGGGUGGCGGUGAGCUAAGGACGGGCCAGCGGUGAGUUGUAGGCGGGCAGGCCGACGAUGAGGUGCAGGCGGGCAUGCAGGCCGGCGAUGAGCUGCGGGCGAGCGGGCUCCCAGUGAGGACGACUUCGGGCGUGAUGCUGGCGAGGACGAGGGCAGGCGCCCGACCGUCGCGCGGAGUAGUGCGUGCGCCCUACCGCUGGUGAGGAGUGCGGGCGAGCUGCCGUCGAGAAGGUGUGCGGGCGGUCUGCUGACGAAAAGGAAGUGCUCAUCAGCUGGAAGAGGUGCUGAAAGCAAGGAUUUGAGUGCUUGAAGUGCGUGAAAAAAUAUUACUCGCAUGUAUGCUAGCCGUUGGCGUAACACCCAGCUGAUGGAGAGAUUUUAGUUUGCUAGAUGAAUCUUUAGACUUUUGCAUGUAAUAGAACUGAAAGAUCACUUCAGAAUUUAGGAAACAUGUAUGCUAUUAUAUUUUAUAUGUUCAUCACACAAAUCGUGUUCCAAACAAAUAUAUGUUGGAAUCCAAAGUCAAAGAUUGAUAUCUCUCUUUUAGUAAUCAAUUUUCAUAUAUUCUGAGCUACAUAUUA